ensembl:snoRNA
UUCUGUGAUGAAACUGCUAUAUAGGAAGUGCCGUCUGAUGCGAUAACUGACGAUGGCAAAGCAAAAUCAGUCUGAGA